rnacentral:rRNA from 1 species
CCAGACUCCUACGGGAGGCAGCAGUGGGGGAUAUUGCACAAUGGGGGAAACCCUGAUGCAGCGACGCCGCGUGAGUGAAGAAGUAUUUCGGUAUGUAAAGCUCUAUCGGCAGGGAAGAAAAAAAUGACAGUACCUGACUAAGAAGCCCCGACUAACUACGUGCCAGCAGCCGCGGGAAUACGUAGGGGGCAAGCGUUAUCCGGAUUUACUGGGUGUAAAGGGAGCGUAGGCGGCCAUGCAAGUCAGAAGUGAAAGCCCGGGGCUCAACCCUGGGAGUGCUUUUGAAACUGUGCGGCUAGAGUGUCGGAGGGGUAAGUGGAAUUCCUAGUGUAGCGGUGAAAUGCGUAGAUAUUAGGAGGAACACCAGUGGCGAAGGCGGCUUACUGGACGAUGACUGACGCUGAGGCUCGAAAGCGUGGGGAGCAAACAGGAUUAGAUACCCCUGUA